CCCUUGCAAAAAUAUCAAACAAAGGACAUCCAUUUUCACCAAAUCCAUUUUUUCCACAGAGAUGAGUACCAUCACGGCCAUGUUGUUGGAGUCUUGCUCUUAUAUUUUCAGCCUUCCCAAGAUAAACCACCAAAUCAGGUUCAAGCUUGCCAUGGCGGUCCCUACUAGGCAGUUUACACACCGCAAGCUCAUAGAUUCCUGUACCUGAAGAUUUUGGAAGAUUUUCAAGCCUGUAUCUGGUCACCGCUCCUCCUUCCCCAUUUUUCCAGUCAUGAGGACCAACAAGAAGCUAAACAAAUGAAAAAAAACCAAAAAGAAGAUCAGAUUAAGGUUUAUAAAUCAAAUUUAAACUGGGUAUAGAUGAUCUUUUUCAGCAAAAUCAAAAGCAUGAUUAAAGUUGGAUUAAGGCAGAUUAAAAAACCUUCCAUUCGGAGAAGUGGGAAUCGUGGUCGGUCUUCUUGUGAUCUUCUCUGUUCGAUCUGUCGACGUGAACGGCCAAUAAUUGCAUUGGAAUCUCAUCUUCUUCACUAUAAGCACCAUUAUGCAAAUGUCUCUGAUUGCACCACUUUAUGGAAGGGCAUUUCUUAUUUAUAAUAAGGUUGAAAUUGCCUUCUUUCUUUUUAAUUUUAUUUAUUUUUUACUUUAGACUUAAUUCGUUUUAUUUUAUUAUUUUAAUACUUAAAUUUUAAAAUUUUCAAAAUAAGAUUUCACUAUAUUUCAUAAAAAUUUAAAAUUUAAAAUUGUAAUAAAUUUUUAAAAAAUUAUCCAUAUUGUCAAUAAAGUAGGUAUAAAUUAUCAUGACAAUGUCAUUAUUUUUAACAAGUCUAUAUUUAGAUUAAAACAGUUUAACUAAAAUUUAAAAAUUAAUAAUUUUAUUUAAAUACAAAAAAUUUAACUAAAUUUUAAAGAUUAAAUGACAACAAAAAAUUAAUUUAUCAUCUUACCUUUAUGUUUUGUCCAUGCCUUCUCCAUCUUUCCCUUAUCUUACUAGUGAAAUAUUUUAAUCCUUAAUACUUAAGUUACAAGUAGUCUCCCGACAGCCGACAGUCAAUCAUUAAAGUGAUAAAUUAUUUGUACGUUGAUGAUAUGAUAGAUUAAGACUCGUGUCAUGAUGUGAUUCGACGGAGUGAAUUUUAGCGUCCUUCGUAAGCUGCCCUCUUGUAGUCUUGUCUUCUUUUACGUGUGAAAAUGAGUUUUUUUUUCUUAAAUGUAAUAAUUUAUUAUACUCAACAUAUUAAAAAAAAUUAUAUACCGAAAUAAGUUAUUAAAUAGAUUAAUUAUCGAAAUGAUAUAUUUUUUAUAACCGUGCCAAUCUGACAGGAGCAAAUUAAUUUUUAUAUUAAUUUUUUUUAAAAAAAUAUUUUUUAUUUUUAAAUACGGUCAACGGGUCAAAAUACAGGUAAAAAUCGAGUCAUUCCAGUCAAAUAGGUGCGAUUAGUCGCUCCUGACAGGUAGGCGCGGAUGGUCCUGCAUAAAUUUAUCUGUAUAGUUGCUGUUAACUCAUUUUAUUUUUUUAUGUCAACUUGGAUAUCAAUUUGUCCAAGUUUAAUAAUAACUGACUCUUUUUAUAAAUUUAUUGAAGAAUAUAAAUCAAUUAUUAACAUACAAAUACUUAACAGUAAUUUAAAAAAAUUUAAAAAUUUAUAAUAACACAUUAAUAGUCUCAAUUAAAAGCGUUUCCCAAAAUUCAUAAUUAAGAUUCUUAUUUUGAGCAAUAGAAAUAGAGUUUUGGCUAUGUGAAAAAAUAUGGGAUAUGGAUAUUUUUAAAUAAUGUAAUUUUGUAUAAUGUAAUUUUUAUAUAAUGUAAUUUUAUUUGAUUUUUUAUUUAUUUAACAAUUUUUAUUGAUUUAUUAAAAUGUUGAUUAAAUUUGUUGUUAUAUAAUUUUAUAGGUUGUUUGAAAUAAACUACUCGGGUAUGUAUUUAUUUCUAUUUUUAUUUUUUAAUUCGUAUGUUUUUAUGUUUAGAUAGUUUAUAUUAAUUUUAAUUAUAUUAUUAUUGUAAUCUAAUAUAAAUUUUUUAUUUUAGGUAAAUUAUGAGGAAUUAUUAGAUAUUUACCGUGUUUUGUUUCUGAAAUUUGAAAUAAUUUAUUGUAUUUAUUGAAACAAAUUAAAUGAAUUUAUUUUUUUAAUUGCAGAUUUGCAGUAAAUGGGUUCUUUGAAUAAUAAUAAUAAUCACAUAUCAAGUACUAUUAAUGAGAUGGUAAUAAAAUUUUUAUUUGAUACUCAUUUUAUUUGUUGAAUUAAAUUAUAUUGUAUUAACUAUUUUGCUAAUUUAAUAAUGUCAGGGUUCGUAUCGCGUAUUGAGGGGCCGUGUUAAUAGUUUAGGGUUUCUGCCAGAUGAACGCAUAAUACCAUACUUAGAGUUGGUCGGGUUCAGAUCAGCGGCAUUAAUCCAGACUUUUGAUCUGCGAUACGACUUGAUUUCUGCUUUAGUCGAGCGAUAGUGUCCGAAGACCCACACAUUUCAUUUGCCGUGCGGAGAGUGUACUGCCACUCUAGUCGGGGGUAUAUAUAGGGGGAAAUUAAGCAGCAGUGGGUCCCACCAGUCGCGCCUGUCAGAUAGGCUCAACUAGUCGUGCCUCUGAGAUCGGCUCAACUAGUCGCGCCUAUCAAAUAGCCACAACCUGUAUUUCGUAUCUAUACCCAGGUUAUAUACUGAUCCGAGAAAUAAAAAAUUAAUAUUUUUUUUAAAAAAAUUUAAUAUAAAAAAUUAAUUCGCACCUGUCAGAUAGGCGCGAUUAAAAAAGCCAUACCAUUUCGGUAAUUAAUCUAUCUGACAACUUAUUUCGGUAUUUAAUUUUUUUAAUAUAUUUGGGUAAAAAACCCUAUAGAAUACUUGUUAAAUUCUUAACUCUGUCUAUAAAAUUUAAAAAUUCUAUUAUACCAAAUAUUUUCCCUCAUAUUUAUCAUUUAUUAUUUUUUAAUAAUUAUUAAUUUUAUAUAAUUAACGUAAGCAAUCGUACCUAAAAGAUAAGUAAAAUAUUUAAAAUAUUCUAAAAAAAAGUAUUAGUAUAAUGUUUAAAAAAUAAAAAUGUUAUAAAUUAAUAAAGAAACAUUUUUCCAUGUAUUUUUUUAUUAACUUUUUUCCCUAUAUUCUUGGCCUCUUUAAAUAUUAAAUACCAUGAAAAUUAACACUAUAUUACAGAAUACCUUUCUCAAUAUUUUCACUAUGUGAAACAAAAUUUUAUUUUACUUACACUUGCAAUUUGUGGGAAAAAAAAAAAAAAGCAACAAAUAAACGAAUCAAUUAAAGUGGGAAAAUUACCUUAUAAAUGGAGGCUAUUACACAAAGCUCAUCUAACCAAAUAUCAGAAUGGCAAUGCGGCAUCGGAGGACAGGGAGAAUCGUAUUUUAUAUCGCUGUUCAUACGUCGUUGUCAGCUGUUCCCCGAUCGGUCUUUGCUUAGUCAGAAAUUUGUAUAGAUUCGCAUAUCGUAUGAACAGCUUAGCAACUCGAAAAGAACCUGUUCGCUCAAUCGACUUGCUUUUUUGCACUUAUGCACCUGUCCUCCAGAGUCUCCUCCAGAGUAUAAGAACCUCAUCAGCUAAAAGGCUGAAAUUGGCAAAAAAAAUUGGGGUUCAUGUAUUUAUUUUUUCAAUAUCAUGAAUCAUGAGAGCCUUGGACCAUCAAAGUAAUAGGCUUCGCACUGUCCGCCCGAAGACUAUCUCCUUUCAAACCAAUCUGGGAGGAGAAUCAUAUUCAACAUAACCUCAAAAGACUUGUUCCGAUAAAAAUCACGAAACAACAAUUUAAAAACAGAUGAUGCAACCCUCUGUUCGGUGAUUUGCUAUCAGAAGAGUUAUAUGAUUAUUCUACAAAGUUUGUAUUCAAAGGCAGAUUGAUUACCUCAGGACUAUCAGCUGGGAACCACCGUAAUAGUACACCAAGACGAACAACAGCUGGAAUCAGCUUGAAAAGCAAUGGAGUAGUCACCUGCAUGGUAAUUUUAUGAGUAAAAUCUGAACCUUGAGAGCUAACUAUGAAAGAACUUUCAGAAAUUGGCAGUAAAAGUACCAUGAAGGCCACUGUAGUGAGAGUCGGGUUGCAUUUUUUCUCCUCCACCCGGAAAAUGAGCGUUUUUGUACAUUAGAUCAAAGAGUAAAUUAGUCAUUCUAUUAAAAUUCCAUCCAUUUAUAUUAUUAACAAAAAUGACUAAUUUGUUCUUUGAUCUAACAUAUAGAAAUUAAUUUACCUUUUUUUGAGUAAAAGAGGCAAAAUAUAGUUUGACUCGUAAUACAGAACCUCCAUAGUAUUUUUACCUGAUUUUGGCUAAUUACAUUUACCUAAGGAAUUUAAUAGUAAAAGUUUCCAUUCUGAUCGGCUAAAUUGAUUUAUUAUUUACUAAACGUUUCGUAUUUGUAUUGUGUCGAAAUUUAUUAGGAACUUCAGGAACUCACAAACUUUACAUUCUGCUUAAUUAUUUAAUUAAUCAAGCAAAAAAAAUUAUUUUACAAAUUAGAGAGAUGUUUUAUCUUUUUCAUUUUAAAUAAAAAUUUUCACUGACUAUAGAUAAAAUAAUUUAUAUUUGUAGUUUAUACAGAAAAAAAAAAGGAUUCACAACAUCCAGAUCAUCCUCAAAAGACAAUAAUACAAAAGCUACAACAUAAUCCAACAGCAGCCUCCAAGUGAAUACAUAAUCAUGUUAUUGUUAAGUUAAUCCUUCGGCUCCAGAACUCACCGAAACAUAUAAAACGGUGACUCUCGAUCGAUCAAUGCUCGGGCCAACCUGCCUCGACCUAUCGGUGCUGCCAACACCUUCCAUUUCCCUUGACUGGUCUCCGGCAGGACGAACGAUUGCGGGUUGGUGCUCCACAAAUGGAUGUACCCUUACUGUCAUUAUUCGAGUUUCGCGGAGUAAAAUCAUUGCUGCUGCUGCGGCUGCCACUAUAUUUUAAGUGCUGCCAACACCUUCCAUUUCCAUUACCUGUUCUCUUGCAGGGAGUACCAUUGCAGGUAGGUACUCCACAAAUGGGUAGACUACAAUUGCUGCUGUUGAGACUUGAAUUCCAGUCGAAAACAUGGGAUGGACUCGUUUCGUCUAAUCCGGAAACAAGAGUGGUAAUCGUCAUCCCCGUAUGAUUUUCAUAAAAAACUGAAGCUUCUUCAUCAGAAUAUGAAUUGAAAACAGCAUAUGGCAUUGUUUGAAAUCUUGUUAUCUCGGAAUCGGAGCUAUAAAUUCUCCUCCCUUUAUGCAAAUCACAUCUUUUUCUCCCGGAAACGGGUUGCCUUCUACAAAGAGAACCAUCAUCCAUGGCAACCCCACAAAUAGGACUACAAUGCUCGAUUUCGGGAUAGUCCUCUUUAUGCGUUUGUGAUUUCAUACUCAACCUCAUGGAAGACCCUGUAGUUUUCUUUCCCUUGUGUUCAGCGCAUCGUUUUCUUCCUUCAACCGGCGGCCUUUUACAAAUCGAACCAUCAUCUAAAACCACCCCACAAGAGAAGGUUUCGUUCUCGUUGGAGCCACCGUGAUUCGAAACCAACCGAGGCCGGGAUCUGCUGAAGUUGAAAACUAGAAGCAAAAAGUUGUGGUUCUCUCCAUUUUUGUAUUUGCCAAACUCAUUGUCGUCCGAAACUAGCUUGCUUGCUUUGAUUUUGAUGCCUACUUGCUUUUGAAGGAAUGGCAGAUGUUUUUUGGAGAAAUUGGCUAAUUUCAUAAGAUUUGAUGCAUGCUUAUCUAGUUUUUGAAGGAUAUCAUCGUGACGACGUACACCGUUUGAGCCUUUAUUCCAUGCAUAAUCAAAAGUAGUGAGAAGCUGAGCUUCAGUUCUCCGAGCAUCUGCCUUGUUUUCCAUCUAUUUAACAUGGGAAAGUAAAAUAACAUUAGGAAUUAGAUUAAAAACCAAAUUUUGGAUACAAGGAUGAACAUGUAAUAAGAACAUUGAUGAAAAAGUGCAUUUUCAAAGCUUCUUGGCCUUCAAAAACCAUAUCAUCUGCAAUUCAUUCAAGACUAAGAGCUUAUAACAGUAUGAAGAAUAUAUAUAUAUUAGUUCACCAUUUGUGAAAUUGGCCUUAACACGUAUAGGCUUUCAUUGUUAUGUUCCUUGGACUCUUAAUUUUUCUUGAAGUAUCCGACACUCUUGUCUAACACAUGGAUAUGGGGAUAUGACCUCCAAAGAUCCUCCAAAUACAUGAAAAAACAUUAAAAAGACUAAUCAUAUUCGUGAGGGAUACAUAUCCAUAUCUGACAAUCACACCCGAGUCCGAGUAACAUAGGUUCUUGGAACACAUUUUUCCCUAUGAUUCUUACCAUUUUCACCCUCCUAAGCAUAAACAUUAACAGUUAUUAAGUGCUUAAAUAAUACAACUAAUCAAUUAAAGCCAGUAAAGGGCCGUUGUAGCAUAAUCAGCAAACAUUAGGAAAGCUUCAAAAUCUUAUAUAUAUGAACUAGAAGAUCAAACAUCACCAGAACUCCUUCACUAUGUAUGAUACUAAUCAAAUUACAAUUUCAUUUCAAAUUUUAAACUUUCUCAAAUUUCCGUUCAAACUUUCAUAUGAUACUAAUCAAGUUAAAAAAUUAGCCAAAAAACUUCAAAAUAUUAUAUAUUAUGUGUGUGUGUAUAUAUAUAUAUAUGAACUAGAAGAUCAAUAAAACAUCACUAGCACUUCAUCACUAUGCAUGAAUUAUGAACUUAACCAUUGUUAUAUUUUACUACUAAAAUCUACACCUGAACCUCAUAUAAAUUACAGUUUUAUUCCAAGUUCAAAACUUCUCAAAUAGGUUCCAUUCAAACUCUCAUAUGAUAUCAAUCAAGUUAAAUUUAGCAAAAGAAACAUCAAAAUAUUAUAUAUAUAUAUAUAUAUGAACUAGUAGAUCAAUAAAAACAUCACUAUCACUCCACUAAGUAUGAAUUAUGACUGCUAAAAUCUACAUUUGAUAUAAUUUACAGAUUCAUUUCAAAUUCAAAACUUCUUAAAUAGGCUCCAUUCAAACUCUUAUAUGAUACCAAUCAAGUUAAAAUUAGCAAAAGAAACUCCAAAAUAUUAUCAAGUCAAAAUUUAACCAGAACUCCUUCACUAUGCAUGAACUAUGAACUUACCAUUGUUAUGGUUUACUACUAAAAUCUACACCUGAUAUAAAUUACAGUUUAAUUUCAAAUUCAAAACUUCUCAAAUAGUUUCCUUUCACUAAUAUAAUGCCAAUCAAGUUGAAAUUAACAAAAAAUUUGAAAACAAAAAGUACUCACAGGAGCCCAUCUGUAAACAAUCGAGUAGCCUCUAGCAAAAAUGUCCUCAAAGCAGCCACAUACUUUAUUAUCCCCCGAGUCAUUUCUACCCAAAUGAGCACCUGUACGGCCAUAUUGUUGUAGCCUUGACCUGACAUUAUCAGCCUCCCCAAGAUAAACCACCAAAACCUUGUCUGAGUCAAGCUUGCCAUUAUGGUCCUUGCUCGAAGGUUUAUUUAUAGCAAGCUCAUAAAGACCUGAGCUUGCAGUUUUGGGGAGAUUUUCAACCCUGUAUCUAGCCACUCCUUCUUUCCCCACUGAAUGGUCUUCCCAAUCAUGAGGACCAAUUAGAACCUAAUUAAAUGACAAAGAAAAGGACCCAGAUGAGAUUAAGGUUCAUAAAUCGAAUAUAAAAACUGGGUUUACAUAAUUUUUUAUCAAAAUCGAUGAGAAAUGGGAUAGGGAUUCAUUUUUUUGCUUUAAAAAAAGCCUGUUGUCAAUGGAUGAUUGAAUUAAGAGGAGAAAAACUGAGAAGAAUUUAUGGAAUUUGAAUGGGAGCACCUUCCAUUUGGAGAACUGAGAGUCGUGCUUGGUUCGUUUGUGAUCUUCACGGUUGAAUCUGGUGACCACAUCGGCCAAUUUAGCCGCUCCCAUUGGGAUUGGAUCUUCCUUGUGGGAAAGAACCGUUGUAUUUGUUUGCGCCACUUUAUAACGGGCGUUUUUUUUCAUUAUAAUAUUGCCCUAGUUGCAUUUUUUGUUUUUGGAACUUACUUUAUUAGUAAAAUAUUUGGAUUUUUUUUUCUUUUAGGAAUAAAAUAUUUGAAUUAUUAAUAAUGUGUUUUAAACCGAAUUAGUGGUCCAACCGGUUGAGCUAUUGGUUCAUCGAUUUAAUUGGUCCGAUCGAUCCAACUAGUUCAAUUAAAAAAUUAAAAUUGAUUCAACCGAUUUGAUUGUCGAUUCAACCAGUUUUUAGCCAGUUUAAUUGCUUUGUACCGAUUCUUAACCUAACUAGUUCAAAGCCAAUUUUUGGAUUGAUUCGUAAUUCAAUCGGUUCAAUCGAUUGGUCUGGUCCGAUUCAAACAAUACUAAUUCUUAAGACUUAAGAUACUAUAUUUUAUAUUCUCAAAAAAAUAUUUCUUUUAUUUUUUUAAGAAUGGUUUUUAAAAAUAGAAAAAAUGGUUUAAUCGUCUGAUUCCUAAGUCAACUUGUCUAAUAGAUUUCUCCAGAUCAGUAUCCUUACCAAUUUCGAGCUAACUAGUCUAAUUCAAAUUUUUAUAAUUUUUUUAAUAAUUUUUAUAAGUUUAUAUCAAUUUUAAUAUUUUUUUCAUAAUUUUUAUUAUUUUUAAAGUAAUAUGUUUUUUAAUUUAAAUAUUGUAAAUAAUUUUUAUUAAUUUUAUAAUUUAUUAUAUUUUUAUAAUAUUUAUAAGUUUUUAUAAAAAGAAAUUAUAAUUUUAAUAACUUUACAUCAAUUUUAAUAUUUAAUAUUUUUUAUAAUUUGUUUUGAAUUAUUUUAUUUUAUUUAUAAUUUUUCUGAUUUUUAAUAUUUUUAUGAGAAAAUAUUAGAUUAAACCAAAAGAUAUCACGUGCCACUAUUUAAUUGGUUUGUCAAUUUAUUUUAAUGAUCAACAUGAUCAAUAAUGAAAUCCGUUAACCGGGAAUUGAUUAAUUGUUUUAGUUAACAUCAAGGGCUUAAUUAGAUGCGAAUUUAAUACAUAGACUUAAUUGAUCUUUUUUGUAUUUUCUUAAGGACUUUUUGACAUAUAAACCUAUUAUAUUAUAUUAUAUUAUAUUAUAUUAUAUUAUAUUAUAUUAUAUUAUAACUUGUGACAUAAUUGUAUAGCAUUUAAAAUUAUCAUUUUUUUUGUAGAAUGAUUGUUGAACAUAACAAAAUCAAUAAAAAACUUUAUUUUAAUCAAAAUUUAUUUUUGUAAUUUGCACAUAAUAUUCACAACAAUCACACAUCCAAACACAAAAGCUACAAUGUAAAUCCACCUCUAGCCUAAGCUAAUAGACAAUUAUGCUAUUGAUAACUUAAUCCUUUCGUUCGGACAAUCACCGGAGCAGACGAAAGGGUAACUCUCGAUCCACAAAUGCUCUGACCGGCCGACCUUGAUUGAUCAAUGCUACCAAUAUCUUCCAUUUCCCCUAACAGUCAUCCGGUUAAAAGAACCAUUGCGGGUCAUAGUUGAAAGUACCGCAAGUAAAAUAACCGCUGCUGCUGCUGCUGCUACUGCUGCUGCUGCUGCUGCUAUAAUCCAAGUGUUGCCAACACCUUCCAUUUCCACUAACCGGUCUCUCGCAAGGAGCACCAUUGUCGGUGGUUGCUCCACAAAUUAAUAUAAUAUCAUCACCACCAUGGUCCAACCACCGCGGAGUAAAACUGCUGUCAUAGUCGCCAUAAUUUAAGUUCCGUGAAGUAAAAUAACUACUACUGCGACCAUAAUUCGAAUGUUGCCAACAUCUUCCAUAUCCACUAACUGGUCUCUCACAAGGAGCAGCAUCGGAAGUGGGUGCUCCACAAAUGGAUGUAAUAUCACCACCACCACCGUGGUCCAACCAUCGUGGAGUAAAACUGCUACCGCCGUCCUCGCCAUAAUUUAAGUGCCUCCGGCAUCUUCCAUUUACUUGCUUGUUUGAUUUGAUUUUGAUGGGCACAUGUCUUUAGUUGGAACUACUACUGCUACCAUAAUUCGAAUGUUGCCAACAUCUUCCAUUUCCACUAACCGGUCUCUCACAAGGAGCACCAUCGGAAGUGGCUGCUCCACAAAUGUAUGUAAUAUCACCACCACCACCACGGUGAUCUAAGUGCCGCCGGCAUCUUCCAUUUACUUGCUUGUUUGAUUUGAUUUUGAUGGGCAAAUGUCUUUUGUUGGAUACAUGUUUAUCUAGUUUCCGAAGGAUAUCAUUGGAGCGACGUGCGCCAUUAGAACCUAUAUUCCAUGCAUAAUCGUAUUUUUCAAGAAGUCGAGCUUCAGUUCUUUGAGCUGCUGCCUUACUUUUCAUCUAUUUCACAAAGAAAAUAAAAAUGGUGUUUGGAAGUACAAGGAUAGUCACUAAAUUCCACAAUUUUAUCUCUAAACUUUUUCUUUUUGAGUCCAUACUAAUUCUAUAAUUUAGUAGCGCUCUUAAGCUAAGCAAUAAAAAUAAAAAAUGUAAAAAUCAAUCCAAACCGAAAUGUUUAAACGAUUUAUAAAAUAUAAAUUAAAAAUCAUAGUUAUAACAACGGUUAUUUAAUUUAUAAUUAAUUUUAAUUUUUUAUUAUUCAAAAAUAAAUAUUUUAUAUUUAAAUAAUAGAAUAAUUUAAAAACUUUAUAAACAUCAUGCAAGUAUUAUUGAUUAUUUUUAUUUACUUAAUUUAAAAAGUUAUUUAUGGAAUACUUUUUUGAAAUUCUAUCAAAUAAUGUCCAAAUGCAAUAAAACAAAGCUUGCCAAAAUAAAUCUAAAAAAUAAAAAUAAAAAAUUAAUAUGAAAAAUAAAAAAUCAAAUCUAGUUAACAUAGUUAUUUAAAAAGUUUUAGGAAAAAAAUUCGACUAAAUCAAACUCGAUACUACAUAGAGAUAUAUAUACAUGGUUUUUGACCUAGUUUUUGAAACUGGUCAAACUCGAUCCAAGUUCAAUUCAAUAAAUUAUUUUAAAAAUUAUAAAAAUUGAAAAAAUAUUAAAAAAUAUAAAAUUAAUUCAACCAUCAAUUCAGAGUAAAACCGAAGCCUCUUUUUCCGAACUGAUUUUCAAUCUUACAACAACCGACACCAAUAAAGUUAGAAAGUAGAAAAACAUAAACUCACAGAAGCCCAUCUGUAGAUAAUAGAGCAACCCCUCGCAAAAAUUGGAUCAAACAAAAGACAUUUUUUUUCCCGAAAUCCAUUUUGUCUACAGAGAUGAGUACCAUUACGGCCAUAUUGUUGGAGUCUUACUCUUAUAUUUUCAGCCUCCCCAACAUAAACCACCAAACCAGGUUCAAGCUUGCCAUGGCGGUCCCUACUCGGCAGUUUACACACCGCAAGCUCAUAGGUUCCUGGACCU
rnacentral:lncRNA from 1 species